UACGAAGGGGGCUAGCGUUGCUCGGAAUGACUGGGCGUAAAGGGCGCGUAGGCGGCUUGCACAGUCAGGCGUGAAAUUCCUGGGCUCAACCUGGGGACUGCGCUUGAGACGUGUGGGCUUGAGUGGGGAAGAGGGUCGUGGAAUUCCCAGUGUAGAGGUGAAAUUCGUAGAUAUUGGGAAGAACACCGGUGGCGAAGGCGGCGACCUGGUCCUUGACUGACGCUGAAACGCGAAAGCGUGGGGAGCAAACAGG
rnacentral:rRNA from 1 species